UCCCAGAUGAUCCCUCAUAUUGUUGUUAUAUGUAAAUUUUCAAUGCCCCAAAGAAGUAGCACUCUAAAAUAAAUUUAAUCUUCUCAGCAAGGCAACUUUUCUUUCUGCAGUAAGGGUGCUCCCAUUAGCUAUCUUACCACAAGAGGACACUGAACAAAGGAGGC